CCACUUGCAGGGGUGACAGCGCCUGAGGGGCCUACCGGGGCUCAUCACCCACGGGUGACCAUGUGCGCAGGGUCCCGCUAAUCAGGGACCAGACAGCGGAAGGGGAGCUUCCGCCUUGAGCCUGCAUCAUUCAGCAAGCUACUGUGUGAAAUAUUAGAAGAGACAAAGUAUGAUAAAGGACUACUCCAAAGGAAUUGAUCAUUACUUAUCUGAUCAAACAGAGGUGGCACUGUACGCAGUCUGCUGUAUCACUCCAGGUGCUAAAUAGUAGAAAGACGGAGCUUAAAGCUGGAAGAGACAUUAAACAUCAUGUACCCAUGCUGAGGAAGAAUCCAUGGCAAAAGCAGAAUUGGCACUCUGAUCUCCUAUCCACCCAGUCCAAAGUUUUUGCCUUGUGCCACAAAGCCUUAUUUCAAGCAUAUGUGUGCUCGCCAAACAUUUAAAGAUGCCAUGUACUUUCAUUUCCAUUCUGUUUUUAUGCCUUACUAUUUGCUUAGUAUUGUGGCAGCCUAGAAGAGUUGUUUUAAGCAGGGCAUUAGUAUCACAAACUUAGAUUUGAAUGCUGGCUUUGCUAUUCACUAGCUGUGUGAUCUCUCACCUUCAAAAUAUAAUCUCAUCUCCAGCCACAGUCCUGUGGACACAUGUGAAAUCAUCAAAACAGAAACCAAAUCUGACACUUCUCACCACCCAUUGUUAUCAGCCUGCGCCAAACCACCAUCCUCUCUCUCCUGCACCGCUGCAACAGGCUCCUGACAGGUCACCUGCUUCUGUUCUUAUUCCUCUGCAGCCUAUUCUCCACUCAGCAGCCAAAGUAUGCUUUUCAAACUGUCAAUCAGAUCAGAGCACUGUCCUGCACAAAUCCUCUAGUGGCUUCCCCUCCCAUUUAGCAGACCUCUGAGUUUGCUCUUGCUCACCCUGCACCAGCCACCCUGAUCAGCUUACAGAGUGCUUCCUAUCAUUAUUCUCUAUCACUACACAAUAUUAUUUCCCUUGGAACAGGUACCACAGUUUGUAAUUGUGUGUUUGUUUACUUUUUCUUGCAUAUUUUUUUCCUCUAAACUGUAAA